AUUGAACGCUGGCGGCAGGCUUAACACAUGCAAGUCGAGCGGGGGAAGGUAGCUUGCUACCGGACCUAGCGGCGGACGGGUGAGUAAUGCUUAGGAAUCUGCCUAUUAGUGGGGGACAACAUCUCGAAAGGGAUGCUAAUACCGCAUACGUCCUACGGGAGAAAGCAGGGGAUCUUCGGACCUUGCGCUAAUAGAUGAGCCUAAGUCGGAUUAGCUAGUUGGUGGGGUAAAGGCCUACAAAGGCGACGAUCUGUAGCGGGUCUGAGAGGAUGAUCCGCCACACGGGGACUGAGACACGGCACAGACUCCUACGGGAGGCAGCAGUGGGGAAUAUUGGACAAUGGGGGGAACCCUGAUCCAGCCAUGCCGCGUGUGUGAAGAAGGCCUUAUGGUUGUAAAGCACUUUAAGCGAGGAGGAGGCUACUCUAGUUAAUACCUAGGGAUAGUGGACGCUACUCGCAGAAUAAGCACCGGCUAACUCUGUGCCAGCCGCCGCCGUAA
rnacentral:rRNA from 1 species